AAAAAGGGGGUGCGAUUUUUCUUCUCUAGCCUUCCACGUAUCCCACCCCAAUAGUCCACAUCUCUUAUCUUCUUUUGUGCCCCAAACGUCUUUUCCUUAUCUCAUCUUCUUGGCUACACUAGACAGAAAGUCCAGCCCUCUUUCUCUACUCCUUUUUCUUUGUUUUUGUUUUUCUUCUCUCUUUGCUCUUACACAGCAGCACCUACAACUUUGAAGCUGAAAUUUUAGUGUUAACCUUUUAAUAAGAAAUUAAAAGGUUAACACUAAAAUUUCAGCUUCAAAGUUGUGGGUAAAUUAAAGGGUUAACACUAAAAUUUCAACUUCAAAGUUGUGGGUGGCAAGAACAAGAACACAAACACUUGAGCUCCUCUUGUACAAUCUCUCGCGCCUUCUGUUUUCAGCUUUUGAUAAGUAUAAAGAUUAUUUCGAAAAUUAUUAUGCAUUAAAAAAAUUUUAUUAGAGAUAUUACAUGUAAGCAUGAUUUAAGUAAAAUAUAUGUUCGUGAGUCAAUCUUAUAUAUAUGAUAAUUUUAGCAUAUUAAUGCUAGUACCUAUAUCACGAACAUAAUAUUUUAGAAUGAAGUGGAUAUGCUAUUAUUAUGAAAUAAUUAUGUAAAAGCAUAGUUAUCAGAAAGCUUGAGGAGAUGUGCCCUUAGGCCUUUCAAAGAGGACAAUAUUAUGCACACAAGGUCACCCAAAUGUGAUGAGGUCUUCUCUGCACAGACUUAUCAGAUAUGGAUUAAUCAAUAUGUUAUGAACAGCUAUAUUAUGUUAUUGAUCAUGAGAGAAUGAUUUUGUUUAAGUGCAUUAUGAAAAGUUAAAAGCUUUCAUGAAAAGAAGAAGUAUGAUGAAGCACUUUAUAAUCUUUUUUUUUUUAAGAUAAAGUUACUGAAUUAUGUUUAUGUUCCUUAUUAUGUCCUUUUAUUAUUAUAUGGAAGGAAAAUGAAGUAUUUUCAUCUAAAGGCUCGUAAGUUAUCCUAAGGAUCAUAUGAACAGUAUGAAGGCUAUUUUAUCGAAACAGGCAUAUCUAUAAAAUAUUUGAUUUACAUGCAUUCUUAUUAAAGGCCCAUGGAGCUUUAAAACCUUCCUAGGCUUCGCAGCUCACCAUAUUAUAUUUCAGUGCACAGGUUCUUUCUGGAAGCAGCAAGAGUAUUAGAAGUGACAAGGAUUCUGUGUUUUCUCGUUUGUUAGAAUGUAGAGUUUUGUUAACUCUUUUGUUGUAUAGAAGGAAUCAAGAUGUACUUGAUUCUUUAAGCACAGAUGUAAUUCGAUACCUUUGUUUGUUUUGAACUGCAGUUGUAUGUCUUUGGGGUUAAGUUUGUAAUAAGAGUUUUGCUAAACAUUUAGCUAUGUAAUAUUUACACGUAUACCUUAAGUUUCAGCCAGGUGGUAAUUUUCCAAGUUCAAAGGAAAUCAAAUUUCAAGGUUUCCAUCA